rnacentral:rRNA from 1 species
AAUGAACGCUGGCGGCGUGGAUUAGGCAUGCAAGUCGAACGCGCAUUGGGCAACUGGUGCGAGUGGCGAACGGGUUAGUACAAGUUGGGUAACGUUCCCGGAAGCUGGGGAUAACGUCGAGAAAUCGGCGCUAAUACCGAAUGUGGGCCAGGGGGGUUCGCCUCCCUUGCCUAAAGCAGCAGUGCACUUCCGGAUCGGCUCGACGCCCAUUAGCUAGUUGGCGGGGUAACGGCCCACCAAGGCAUCGAUGGGUAGCUGGCCUGAGAGGGUGGUCAGCAACACGAGGACUGAGAUACGGCCUCGACUCCUACGGGGGCAGCAGUCUAGAGGCUUCGGCAAUGGGGGAAACCCUGACCGAGCGACGCCGCGUGCAGGAUGAA